GACGAACGCUGGCGGCGUGCUUAACACAUGCAAGUCGAACGGAAAGGCCCUGCUUUUGUGGGGUGCUCGAGUGGCGAACGGGUGAGUAACACGUGAGUAACCUGCCCUUGACUUUGGGAUAACUUCAGGAAACUGGGGCUAAUACCGGAUAGGAGCUCCUGCUGCAUGGUGGGGGUUGGAAAGUUUCGGCGGUUGGGGAUGGACUCGCGGCUUAUCAGCUUGUUGGUGGGGUAGUGGCUUACCAAGGCUUUGACGGGUAGCCGGCCUGAGAGGGUGACCGGCCACAUUGGGACUGAGAUACGGCCCAGACUCCUACGGGAGGCAGCAGUGGGGAAUAUUGCACAAUGGGCGGAAGCCUGAUGCAACAACGCCGCGCGCGGGAUGACGGCCUUCGGGUUGUAAACCGCUUUCGCCUGUGACGAAGCGUGAGUGACGGUAAUGGGUAAAGAAGCACCGGCUAACUACGUGCCAGCAGCCGCGGUGAUACGUAGGGUGCGAGCGUUGUCCGGAUUUAUUGGGCGUAAAGGGCUCGUAGGUGGUUGAUCGCGUCGGAAGUGUAAUCUUGGGGCUUAACCCUGAGCGUGCUUUCGAUACGGGUUGACUUGAGGAAGGUAGGGGAGAAUGGAGUUCCUGGUGGAGCGGUGGAAUGCGCAGAUAUCAGGAGGAACACCAGUGGCGAAGGCGGUUCUCUGGGCCUUUCCUGACGCUGAGGAGCGAAAGCGUGGGGAGCGAACAGGCUUAGAUACCCUGGUAGUCCACGCUGUAAACGGUGGGUACUAGGUGUGGGGUCCAUUCCACGGGUUCCGUGCCGUAGCUAACGCUUUAAGUACCCCGCCUGGGGAGUACGGCCGCAAGGCUAAAACUCAAAGGAAUUGACGGGGCCCCACACAAGCGGCGGAGCAUGCGGAUUAAUUCGAUGCAACGCGUAGAACCUUACCUGGGUUUGACAUGGAUCGGGAGCGCUCAGAGAUGGGUGUGCCUCUUUUGGGGUCGGUUCACAGGUGGUGCAUGGCUGUCGUCAGCUCGUGUCGUGAGAUGUUGGGUUAAGUCCCGCAACGAGCGCAACCCUUGUUCACUGUUGCCAGCACGUUAUGGUGGGGACUCAGUGGAGACCGCCGGGGUCAACUCGGAGGAAGGUGGGGACGACGUCAAGUCAUCAUGCCCCUUAUGUCCAGGGCUUCACGCAUGCCACAAUGGCUGGUACAGAGAGUGGCGAGCCUGUGAGGGUGAGCGAAUCUCGGAAAGCCGGUCUCAGUUCGGAUUGGGGUCUGCAACUCGACCUCAUGAAGUCGGAGUCGCUAGUAAUCGCAGAUCAGCAACGCUGCGGUGAAUACGUUCCCGGGGCU
rnacentral:rRNA from 1 species